GUGACACUGGCGCCCAUAAGCUGUCGGACAAAUUGCCCCUGGGAAAGGUAAUAAAAUUGAGAGGUAGGCGUUGGCCCGGCCAAAGGAUGAUUCGGUCUUUGAAUCGAACCCGAAUCAGUUUGGGUCAAACUCGAAAUCGGUCCUAAUCGACGAUUCAAGGUGUUGAAUCAACCUUGAACUGAGGCUGGGGGAUGCGCUUUAAUGAAGUGCUUUAUUCCUUGGAUUUUGCCGAAGAUAUUCAUUGAGAGAGCCCUAACUGGCGGAGAGGAAAGAUGCCACGGGGUUACAACAGAAAGAAAGCUAGCUGUGACUCUGAAGUGUUUUCCCUGCCAAAAAGGGAGCAGAUGUAUUGCAAUCCCGUUUAACAAAAUUGAAGGAAACCUCAGCUAAAGUGCUAGCUAGCAACCUCUUCUACAUCAGAUAUAAGGCCCUGAAUAUCUAAAGGAGUUGAUGAACCACUGAGAGCUUGAAUUGUUAUGAGAGAAUCUCUCUCUAUAAUGACUCGACGGAACCCUCUGUCCUUAGCUAGCAGAAUUGCGUCUCUACAAGCCAGUCCCUCCAUUACCAGCGAAUCACUGCAUCUCAAAUACCUUCAACAGUACCACGUAAUUGGACUGCACGGGCUAUAUAUAACUGCAUUUGCAUCCGAUUCCCUUGAGAGUUGCAUGCCGCAUGCAUCAAAGUAUUUCGUCUGGUUGAACUGUUAAGCAAGCUAGACAGUAGUCCAAGGGGGGAAUAAUUAACCCAAAUCUCUGCCGCUCUUGGGCUAGAGAAAAAUAGAUGAUUUACAGGUUCCUUUGACCACAAAACCCAUAAUCUGGGGAGAAGAAACUGAACCUCCCAUGAAGAAGGCCAUUCGUGGCCAGCCUCACAUGAAGAUGCCGCCAAAAUUUUAUUUAGAGCCGAGAGCUUCCAGACGUGCUUCCAAAGAACAUCAUUUAGCUGCUGAGAAUUUGGACUAAUCCUUGGGUUGCUACAAAGAAGGCACAUGAAGAAAAUUAUAUUAUACAUUUUAUGUUGUACAUUUCACACCUUGCUACAAUGUGCAAGCCUUAAAUGGUGACCCCCUGCAGCCUUCUGCAAUGGCUGCAGUUUCUUGCCUAGUGGCACAAGGCUUUUUUAUUUUUAAUUUUUCUUUUUCAAUAGGCAUACACACACAGUCACAUACAUAUAAUCAAGCAAGAAUUUUGAAUAUUUUAAGUAACUGUUUGAUUCAUUUUGUUGAUCCUCGGAUAUCAUUCCAUACUUCAGAUUCAAUCUGGGAAGGGUAACCCCAAUCUAAGGAAAGUGUCGGAGCCGUCAAAAUCUUGAGCAGGAUCUGCUGAGCUACUGGUAUUGGUUAACAUAGAAUCUGAUGACCCUACUGACACAUUCAUCAUUUGCUUCUUUAGUCGCUCGUUCUCUUCCAUCAAUUGAGCCUCCUGCGCAAAUGGAUGAGAAAGAAACAAUAGAUUUCACAAAAUAGAGCAAGAAAGAGACAAGCUACCUUAGCUACGAAAAUUCUAGUAUAAAAGAUAUAUAGAAAAUGUGUUAAAUUUAGAGAAAGUGCCGGUAGAAUUAUAUUUUAAUUCAAUUUUAAUAUGAAUAUUAUGAACUUAUACAAGUGAUUAAAUAAUUAGUCACUUCAAUAUUAUAACUCAAUCAUUUAUAUUUACUCUUUCAAUCCUACAUCACCAUAUAUCUUUUCAACAAGGAGUUAGAGAAUCUCUGCUAGACAUACCUCAAGAGGUUCUCUUGUUUUACAAGUCUCUUUAGUUAAGAAGAGACCAUGAUACCCAUUAUUAACUAUGAGUCUCCAACAAUGAAAACGAUUGGUUUUUCACUUAUCAUUAAAAUAAGAACAGUUCAAAAGUCUCUUUCACUUGUUUUGAUGAGUGGGCUUGCAACAGUUCAAAGAUAAACAUAACCAUAAAAGCAUGCAACUGACCUUGUUUUUGAGGGCAUUUAUUUCAUUUGCAAUUGCAUCACCCUUUGUUUCCAUGACUCGCUUCAAGCCUCUUUCAACUGAUUUCUCUAAUUGUUGAAGUUCUUCAAUGCUCAAUCCUUGGAGUUCUUCUCCCCUCAUCUGCCUCAGUUCACGGGUCUUCUCUUCUACUUCCUUGCUCAGUGCAGCAGACGUACCAUCUUUAAGCU
rnacentral:misc_RNA from 1 species